rnacentral:rRNA from 1 species
AGUAAUGUAUGGGGAUCUGCCUGAUGGCGGGGGAUAACUACUGGAAGCGGUAGCUAAUACCGCAUAAUGUCUACGGACCAAAGCGGGGACCUUCGGGCCUCUUGCCAUCGGAUGUGCCCAGAUGGGAUUAGCUAGUAGGUGGGGUAACGGCUCACCUAGGCGACGAUCCCUAGCUGGUCUGAGAGGAUGACCAGCCACACUGGAACUGAGACACGGCCAG